UUUAGAGCCCAGAAAAGUCGUGUC
rnacentral:siRNA from 1 species